rnacentral:tRNA from 1 species
GGAAAAGUGUCCGAGUGGUUUAUGGUGCAGACUUGGAAAGUCUGUGUAAUUUAUAUUACCGAGGGUUCAAAUCCCUCCUUUUCCG